CUGGGCUCUUGGCAGCACCCUGUGCUCUGAGGGUGUCUUGCCCGCCGGGCGCCGUGGCUCACGCCUGUAAUCCCAACACUUUGGGAGGCUGAGGCGGGCGGAUCACUUGAGGUCAAGAGUUCAAGACCAGCCUGGCCAACAUGAUUCUACUCUAAAAGUCACCAGGAAAAAUUCAGCUCCACUGGUCCUGGCUCUAAGUCUACUAGCAAAAUCUUCCAGAGAAGUGGAAAAGCCAUCAGCCAAUGUGUUAGACUAUCAUUUCCAUGACCUUACACCUAUCAAAAAGGCACUAUUACCAGGCUUAUAGAAUUCUAAAAAAGUUGGAAACCAUUUUCCAUUAUAAAAGAAAUUCUUCCAAAUCACACAAAACACUCUGACGCUUCUCCAAUUCCCCCUUUCAAUGUUCCGCAAAUGUGCUGGUUUGAAGGAAAAAAAAUUCAAUGUGGCACAUGUUUAAAAAUAUAAUGAAGACAUAGACAUUAUCAAAUACAACUGAUAGCACUAACCUUCCCUUUGAACCGUCCCUAAACAUCCACACUCACAUGUCCUUUAAAUACAAACCACUUUUCUCCAGGCUUCCUAACUUGGUAAAUCCAGGUACCUUCCCAGGUCGUUCAGAGAAUUGGGAGCCUCGUUCCACAUCACUUUUCCCCAGCCCAGCAGCACAAAACCAAUCAGCUGACAAAUUCAUUUCCACCUCUCAAGGCCUCUCAUAUUAAUCCCUCCUUUCCACACAUAUACUGCCCUAGCUCAGACCCUCUCAUACUUCUUAAACUGACACAGACAACCUCACUUGGAGGCUAACUGGUCUCCUUAUCUUUAAUCCCAAAAUACACCUAUUUACCACACAGAUCCAAAACCUCGUAACUCCUUUCUCAAAAUCCUGUAAUGCCCUGUCAAUUGCAUUCAGAAGAAAACCACCUUUUCAUCCUUUCUCCCUUUAAGAGCACAUUGAUAUCCUACUCAACCCCAAGGUCCAAACGAAGACUGACAUGUCUCUCAGAGAUGAGGCUUUGAUUUUGCCAUGUCCUCCCAUUGGAUGUCAUCUUCCCAUCAGUCAAUCAACGAUGGUACUCUCUUUUCCACAUUACUGAGUCAUGAGUCUUUCUUAAAUUCUAAUUUCUUAUGCAGACAGUACAUCAACUCCACACAAUUGUGAGAUCCCUAGAUGGAAAAGAAUGUAUCAUUUCCAUCUCUCCA
rnacentral:lncRNA from 10 species